rnacentral:lncRNA from 1 species
GUAGUUGCAGGACUGAAAUCAAAAUGGUUCCGAUUACUGAGAGAGCUGUUCAUUUACUUAUUAUUUUUUUUUCGUAAUCUGAAUGAAGAGUAUAGCAUCUCUCACAAGGAAAUAUCAUGAGCUCUUUUAGAAAUACUCACAGGAAGUGAGUGUCCACACGCCGGUUAUUCACCAGCUGAGCGCUGACAGGUGGAGGUACUGCUGCUGCCCUCCCAGAUUUAUUUGAGCAUUUCCACCAGAGCAGGGGAGUACUCGGGGUAUACAGACCAAAGGGGUUUUGUGUACUGAGGGAGUUGUGAGAGGAAAUUGGUCAUCGCUCGUCGUCGUGGUGGACAGUGACUCAGGGAGCUGUGAUGAGGGGUCAGCAAGGCACGUGGCCGCCGUCUCUGAGGUCUCUGCUCCCUACUCAGGGGGCGGGCUGUCUUCUAAAAAUGAAUGCUCCCUCCACCGCCAGCAACGAUUCUUGUGCAGUGAAUCACUUCCAGAAAUGAAUAGCCACAGUUUUUUGGAAUGAAUGUUGUGAAAUCCCUCGUUUAUAAUGGCAGGUUUUCCGUUGGUGGUUUUUAUCAGAGAGAAUUUCUCAAGAUCAAAACGAAACCUCCUCUUUACAAAGAAAGAAAGUACUCUCGAUACAGAAAGCAAAAGUAUUUCCACUCUCCUCCUGACGAGCUGUCACAGAAGAUCUCUGUACCUGUGUUUAGAGAUCCACGUCCAUGUACUUGCCUGAACGCACGAGUCCUUGAAAUCACGAGUUCAUUGCCGUAACUGGUGGUCUCCUAUGCAGCAGGUUGCUAACUCCGAGCAGUGUUAUGUGCGGUGAGUAGGUGGUAGACUCCGAAGAUCAUUGCUAAUCCAGUGUUCGUCCUCUUGAGUCAUGGAUUCAGAGGACUGCCAGCAAGCUCUUAAAUACUUGCUGUGCCUUAUAUGAUUUAAUGCAUGGAGCUGCAAGACUCCCAGAAGCCUGUGAAAGGUUUUGCAGAGCGUGGAUUAAUUGAAUAAUCUUUUGAAUAUACUAGUCCUUGGGAGGAAGAAAGGAUGUCUUACAGAAGGAAGCAGUUUGUGGGUCUCUUAGAGCUACAGUUACUGCUCUCCUGUAUUUUAAGUGUCACUCUAUCCUCUUGUGUGAAAGAAAUAAAUGACUGCAUGGUUUAAUGGAGAAGAAGUUACGCCAGCUCUUUUGAAAUGAAGAGACCUUCACCCACGUGUUACUCCUCGCUGGACUGUCGUCCUCCUGCCUCUUCACACAGAGCAAGUUUCCACGAGCGAGGCUCCCCGUCUGGCAGCAUCAGUGAUGCGCCUCAUCCAGAACCCAGUGGGCCCGCCAUGGGUUACUGGCAGCACUUUUAUCGAGGGGCAAAGAGAGGAAAUCCAGUUCCUGGAAACAGGGAGUGCAGUUUCAGAAAUCCUUCUCCCUCCCGAGUGGAGAAGUUGUUUGACCUACUGACUCAUUUCAUAGGAAUUGGGAAAACAACCUAGUGUGGUUUUCAUUGUUCAUCCUGGAGGCUUCCAAAAUCUGCGUCUGUGCAAAUAAGAUGAGCUGGAGAAAGGUAGUGUUGCCACUUGCUGUUUCUACCUGCCUGGUCUCCCGAUGGGAUUCAGUCUCUUGCUUCCAGCGCAAGUCCAGCCUGUGCCUGGGGCUCCGUUGUGUGCCUGUCCAGUGGUGAGUACGGAUGACAGCAUUGUCUGAUUUUAUGAGUUCUUGCUUCUAAAUUUCUAAAUGGCAUUUCAUCGCAGGAAAAGCUUUAAAGAGCCUUUUUCCCCCGGCACAUUUAUAUUACAUUUUAUAUUGACCUGUAGAAAAUACUCUAGGUGUGGUGAUAAUUAUAAAAAGACCACAGAACCCGUAGACAACAAUGAAAGUUAAGAGUUAAGAGAUGUUUUGAAAAACAGAUUUUUUUUAGCGUAUUGACACGAGAGCAGUUUUGAUUUUGACACAUUUAUAUUAAGUGAUUUUUGGGGGUAGUGUUAUUUAUAACACAAGUAUGGAAGAUAAUAGUAUAUUUUAACAAAAUAAUAUAAUUACUACUAGUUAAUAAUGAAAGGCAUGUCUUUCUGGCUAGCAGCAUAAUGUUUACAUGCAGAGGAUCUUUUGAUUUAUGACAUUUUGGUUUUAAUCUACUGUUAUCAAAUAAGCUAAAAGUAUCCAAAGAAGACAGAGUAUAUUAACUUGGAUAAAAGUAGAAGCUGAGAGGUGCUUGAAGUGAUUAAUAUUUGAAGUGUUAGAUUAUGGCCUCCGUAUCAUUUCAUUUAUGCCAAGUCCCCCAGAUCAUACUCAAGAUAUGAUCUUCAGCAUUGCAGCUGAUGCUUAGUGUAUAAUUAUCAUAGAGUUUCUCAUUCUCUUCGGAGAUGGCCGAGGAGAACGUUGACUUGGUCACACUAGCGCUUUCUCUUCAGCAAACAGCGUUGCGUGUGAAACGCCUUAGAGGCGGAGUUCUUAACCUUUCCAGGGUGUGGGGCCCCUGUGAGGUUGCGAUGGACACUGGAAGUCGUCUCACUACAUGCACGCACAAGCAUUUGCCCGCAUUUUCAGGGCAUUUGCAGCUACAGUGAAGCACACCCGGGACCCCGGGCGCGGGUUGCCACCUGGCAUGAGACCACACUGUGAUCUUUCCAUCCCUUGGUUUCGCAGCAGACACUGGGAUCGAAAGGGGCGGCAGCCAAGUCGAAAAUAAGUCAUCCUCUGUGGUUGCUCAGUGGGGAUGCAAAGCCCAAGAAAAGGAGGAAGGGUGGAGAAAAUAUGUGACUAAUACUAAACAAACAAAGAGAAUCCUUAGUAUUAUCACAACCACCGAACAGCCCAGAAGCCCCAGACGUCUAACCUUGGGUGUUGGGAAAGUACAAGGUGAAUUCCAGUGGAUACUUCAAGAUUCAGUGUUAAACAACUGGAGAGAGUUUUCCUUCUAAGUAAUGAAGUCUCUUUUCUUUUUUUCCAUAUGUAUGUUACCAAAUUAGAUCAGACCACAAACCAUCUGAACCCCAGCAGUAUAAAUAAUAACCGUUGUAACAAACUGGAGAAAUGGUUCUACUUGAGCAGGAGAAAUUUGGGUGGGGAUAGAUAGAAGGUAGCUUAGCUGAGUACACAAAGACCUUAUUUAAAAAAAAAAAAAAAAAAAAAAAA